ACUCCAGCCUGAGUGACAGAGCGAGACCCUGUCUCAAAAAAAAAAAAAAGGAAAUAAAGGAAUGGCAGAGCUUUGGCUCAUUCAGAGACACAUCCUUGGGGACUGCCACAGGAGCCAUGUCUCUGCCGUUUGAUGACCUGGAGCACUGUCCCUCCUUACUUUUAACAUGAGAAAGAAAACAGGGUUUAGCAGGAUUUGCAUUGUAACAAAGAGGAAUUUUCUCCCGGUAAAAGAAAUAGAACAGGCCAUAUUAUCCAACGUAUAUAAAUGUGUUUUAAAGUAAACAAGGUUUUACCUGUUCUCAACAGCUCCCUUGCCCCCACCUCCCAGGCCCGCUGCUCAGGUGCUCACAUGGGUCUCACUGUGGCCUCCCCCAACCCCACCACUUGUUCCCUCUCCACCAGGGCCAAGGAGGGCUUCCUGAUAUCUGCAGCCUAGCCUCAUCCACCUCCAUGGUAAGCUUGUUCAAGGCUGGCGGAUGUGGAGGUGCACACGGGGGGCCUGGAGCCAGCAGGUGACCUGUAGCUGCCCAAGUGAGAUGGGCUCUGUGGCCCCAGUGAGAAAAUUGUGAGAUGCUGGAGGAACCUGGGACCAGGGAUUGCUGUCAGCCACUGUUAUUUCCUUUUGCAAAACAAGAUUACAGGGAGAGUUAAGAUGUCCUGGCAAAAUCCAGAUACCGGAUUAGACCUGAAGAAACAAGAUUCAUCAUCCUGGUCUCACCACAAAGCCCAAGAUGCUGCAGCGGAGGAAGGCCCCAUCAGGGCUGCCUCCCCCAGGCCCGGCUGUGGUGUGCUGGGCAGCCCCACAUCCCCACUCAGCCAGGCCCCCAGCAGCUUCUGUUUGGACUGAGGUAUGUGUAUGGGGGGACACCUGAUUGAGAAGUGUGAGAAGGGCCCUGAAGUCCUCACGUGGCCUUGGGCAAGUCACUCUGCUUGCUAAACCCUGUUGACCUCACCUGGAAAAUGGGAGAACUGCUUAAUGGCUCUGAAGGCAUUUUUUUUUUUUUUUUGGAGACUGAGUCU